AUUGCACGCUGGCGGAAGGCCUAACACAUGCAAGUCGAGCGAGCGGCGGGCGGGUGCGUAAUGUCUGGGAACCUGCCGGAUGGAGGGGGAGAACUACUGGAAACGGUAGCUAAUAACGCAUACCAUCAGAUGUGCAAAGAUGGGAUUAGAUAGUAGGUGGGGGAACGGCUCACCUCGGCGACGAUCCAUAGCUGGUCUGAGAGGAUGACCAGCCACACUGGAACGGCGACACGGUCCAGACGCCUACGGGAGGCAGCAGUGGGGAAUAUGGAACAAGGGGCGCAAGCAUGAUGCAGCCAUGCCGAGUGUGUGAAGAAGGCCUUCGUGUUGUAAAGCACUUUCAGCGGGGAGGCGUUACCCGCAGAAGAAGCACCGGCUAACUCCGUGCCAGCCGCCGCGGUAAUUC
rnacentral:rRNA from 1 species